CGGCGGAACACGUGAAAUUCCGUCGGAAUCCGGGAGGACCAUCUCCCAAGGCUAAAUACUCCCUAGUGACCGAUAGUGAACCAGUACCGUGAGGGAAAGGUGAAAAGCACCCCGGAAGGGGAGUGAAACAGUUCCUGAAACCGUGUGCCUACAAGUAGUUAGAGCCCGUUAAUGGGUGAUAGCGUGCCUUUUGUAGAAUGAACCGGCGAGUUACGAUUUGUUGCAAGGUUAAGCGGAAAAAGCGGAGCCGUAGCGAAAGCGAGUCUGAAUAGGGCGCAUAAGUAACAGGUCGUAGACCCGAAACCAGGUGAUCUACCCAUGUCCAGGAUGAAGGUAAGGUAAUACUUACUGGAGGUCCGAACCCACGCACGUUGAAAAGUGCGGGGAUGAGGUGUGGGUAGCGGAGAAAUUCCAAUCGAACUUGGAGAUAGCUGGUUCUCUCCGAAAUAGCUUUAGGGCUAGCCUCGAGGUAAAGAGUCAUGGAGGUAGAGCACUGUUUGGACUAGGGGCCCUUCUCGGGUUACCGAAUUCAGAUAAACUCCGAAUGCCAUGUACUUAUACUCGGGAGUCAGACUGCGAGUGAUAAGAUCCGUAGUCGAAAGGGAAACAGCCCAGACCACCAGUUAAGGUCCCCAAAUAUAUGUUAAGUGGAAAAGGAUGUGGGGUUGCUUAGACAACCAGGAUGUUGGCUUAGAAGCAGCCACCAUUGAAAGAGUGCGUAAUAGCUCACUGGUCGAGUGACCCCGCGCCGAAAAUGUACCGGGGCUAAACAUAUUACCGAAACUGUGGAUGAACCUCUUUAGAGGUUCGUGGUAGGAGAGCGUUCUAAGGGCGGUGAAGUCAGACCGGAAGGACUGGUGGAGCGCUUAGAAGUGAGAAUGCCGGUAUGAGUAGCGAAAGAAGGGUGAGAAUCCCUUCCACCGAAUAUCUAAGGUUUCCUGAGGAAGGCUCGUCCGCUC
rnacentral:rRNA from 1 species